GGGGGGACUGAGACCGCCGGUGCUGUUGCUUCCGUGGCGAUCGGGGCGAGGAGCGAGGAGAGGGAGGCGUUGAGGAAGAUUGCGAGAGUGGAUAGUCGUACAUGGCUGUGAGGGUGGAAGUGGGGGGAUGUUCGAAUUGGCGCGUCCUUAUAUAGCAAGUUCGGAUUGGGAGGGCGCCGAGAGUUGUUCGGAGAAACUGAAGUGAGAGCAC
rnacentral:misc_RNA from 1 species